CCUACGGGUGGCUGCAGUGGGGAAUUUUGGACAAUGGGGGCAACCCUGAUCCAGCCAUGCCGCGUGCGGGAAGAAGGCCUUCGGGUUGUAAACCGCUUUUGUCAGGGAAGAAAUCUUCCGAGCUAAUACCUUGGGAGGAUGACGGUACCUGAAGAAUAAGCACCGGCUAACUACGUGCCAGCAGCCGCGGUAAUACGUAGGGUGAAGACGUGGAUCGGAAUUACUGGGGGUAAAUGUGGCAGAGGCGGUUGAAAUCCCCGGGCUUAACCUGGGAACUGCACUUGUGACUGUACGGCUGGAGUACGGCAGAGGGGGAUGGAAUUCCGCGUGUAGCAGUGAAAUGCGUAGAUAUGCGGAGGAACACCGAUGGCGAAGGCAGUCCCCUGGGCCUGUACUGACGCUCAUGCACGAAAGCGUGGGGAGCAAACAGGAUUAGAUACCCCUGUAGUC
rnacentral:rRNA from 1 species